CUCAAUAUAUUAAGCUGUUGGCACUUGGCAAUGAAAAUUUAACACCUACCUAGGUUGAAGAAUGGCCAAAGAAUAACCGUCGUUCUAAGACUAAGUUUUCUAAUGCGAAGCCAAUACUUUAGCCAUUUAUAACAAAUUAAACCAAAUGUACGUAUUUGCACAUAGCUACGCAAAAUUAAGGCAAAUAAAUCACACACAGUUGUCUAAAUAAUCGCAGCGUUAGGUCAGGCAAUUCUUAUUCGGUAGCCAGUAUUGAAAUUUCAAUAUCGCAUAACUUAACUGCAAAUUCAUACUUCUUGUAAAUCCUUCUUGAAAUUAGCUAGAUUUUGAAUACAGCAGUGAAAUGGUAAAUGCCAUUAAAAUUAAUAUAUGUUCUAACAUUUUAGAGAGAACACCCUAGAGAGUGUAAAAGGGACACCUUCAAAUGACGACGAAAAACCCAAACGUUCACCAUGGUGGCACCACUUUCGUCGCCAUCAUCACCGUCCUCACCACCAUCAUCACCAUCCUCACCAUCAUCAUCACCAUCCUCACCAUCAUCAUCACCAUCAUCAUCAUCGUCGACAUCGCCAUAGACGACAUGGAUGGGGUAAAUAGUCUUGGAGACGAAGGUAUGUGCGAAAUAUUGAUGAUUUAACUUUUUGCAUCUCCGCUAAUGUAUGCACGAGCUGUCUGGGGCUGAUUUUCCGGGCUGAAAUUUCAGCACGGGCCAUAAGGGACAAAAUCCUAUUAAAACACAGCAAGCGAAACUAGUUCGUCACGUAAUCGACGGGAAAUUUCAACUCGCUGGUUGAAAAAAAACCCAACAUUUAAGUGGCUUUAUGGCCAUAUCAGUUAGCUGCAUACUUAUGGCUGCUCCAUACAGAAUCGUACAUUAUCAUUCUCAAAAUUAUAAGCGCCAAUUGGCUUAAUAAGUAAUAAUAAUUUUCUCGGGGCGGACGGGGGGGGGUAGUUUUCUUUGCUGCACACCCCUUUUCCCCCACCUAAUAACCACUGUCACACUGCACAACCAACACCUCAAAAUAUUCUUAUUUGAUUCUUUAGAAAAUUAUUUCACAUUAGACAAACUUACUUUGUAUCUUUAUUACUAUUCAAAUGCGAGCAUGUUCCACAUUCUACUCCGCCGACACUUUCUAUAUAUAACAUAUACUCAUAAGGGAUGAAAAAUGAAAGAAAUGGGACGAAAAAUGUCGGAAGCCUGCUCACAAUAGAGACGUUCAGAUUUGACUUCCACUAUACCGUCACCCCUACGACCAUUAACCAAUCAGAUGCGUUUGAUAUAUCCGAUCAACCAAUCAGAUGCGUACUAAGCCAAUGAUAGGUAGUGGAAGAGAAAUCUGAACUUUUCUAAUUUCCUUGCGAGUACUUUU
rnacentral:lncRNA from 1 species